UACGGAGGGCGCGAGCGUUGUUCGGCCUCACAGGGCGUAAAGCGCGUGUCGGCGGCCGAGCAAGUCGGAUGUGAAAUCCCGAGGCUCAACCUCGGAACUGCAUUCGAAACUGCUCGGCUCGAGUCCCGGAGAGGAUGGCGGAAUUCCCGGUGUAGGGGUGAAAUCCGUAGAUAUCGGGAGGAACACCAGUGGCGAAGGCGGCCAUCUGGACGGUGACUGACGCUGAGACGCGAAAGCGUGGGGAGCAAACAGG
rnacentral:rRNA from 1 species